ACCGCGGGGGUGUUAGCCUGCGCUCACCGUGCGGCGGCGGCGGGACAGCGCUGGCCUGCGGGUAGCCGCGUUGGGGACCUUCACCGUCGGCUAGCGGCAGCGGAGCGACCGUGGGGCAAGCACGAAGCGGCUGAGCCCGCUGUAGGCGGCAACCGCCCCUGUCGGCGCUAGAGAGGGCCCCAGAGCUGUGCAAAUGCGGAAGGGAAAGCCUUUCCUGUGCGUGCGGCUGCUGCUGUCUGCCCCUGCCCGCAUCCCGGUCCCUGUGGGGAUCGAGGGCUUAUUGUCUCUCCUAAGUUUACGCCUGCCGUCGCCGGUACGGGCCGCUGUAAGGCUUCAGUGUGAAAAACGCAUAGACCAUGUGCUGCAGUGACCCUGUAUGUUGCUCACAAAUGGGUCAAGGAAACCACAAAUUAAAAAUGUUUUCAUGUCUCCCAGCAUUCUCCAGGAGCUUGGUAAGCUGUCAGUUUCCCACAGCCCUCUGGGAUUUCCUCCAAGCAGUAGAGGGAGAAGACAGUGAAGAAGCUCUCUCCAUAUCCUACAGUGAUCAGGAUUCAUGGUUCAGAUGGAGGGAGUGUGCAUGCCAGGUGUUCGAUGGCAUUAAAUUGGAUUAAUGGAAGACAACAUAAUGGUAUUGCUGUAUUGCUUACCUAAAUUGAUAGCAUAUAUGCAGAUGAACCACACUUUAUGUGAAGGAUUUUCAUCUUUCAAAUUGAGUUACUAUGGUUUUGUUGGAUUAAACAGUUUUUGGUGGGUUUUCUGUAAAUGAGAAAGAUUCAGUUUUUGUUUGGUUUUUUUUUAAUUUACUUUUUAAUGUAAAAACUGUUUGCCCCAAAUUAUAAGUUGCUGAUUGAAGUGAACAGCAAUGCUAGUGCUAAUCCCUACACUGCCUAGUGACUCUUAAAUGUUCCAGGCCUCUGAACAUUCUCAUCCAUGUGACUCAGCACAGAUUGGAAUGGAUCUGAUCUGGAGAUGUAGUAAAUUUAUAUCUUGCCAAGUUAGUUGAGUCACAGCUGAGGAGCACACAGGGUUUCCUUUGAUGGAACAUACACCUUCCUCCUAUUACAGGGUAACACCUAGCAUGCAGCCAGCACUUGUGUAGCUAGAAAAAGCAGGUAGGCAAGUAAGAGCAAGCGAUUGUCUUAAAUGUAGAGCUUCUUGAAAAUAAAAUUUGAAAUACAGCCCACUCAUGGCAAGUAGCUCAGUAUAAAUGGCAUUUAUACAGGGAACCACAAAUUUACUGCCGCUCUGUGACUUCAGAGCUUUUUCCUUUGUGUCAAAGUAAACACAUACAUAUGUUAGCACUAUUGAGUGAGAAGAGUCAGUAGGAAGAGUCUGAAGUUCUUGUUCCUCAACAAUAUCAGCUAACAGAACAGAACAAAACACAAUUAAUGAACUGCAACCUGAGAAGGAGAACCUUCAAGUGUAGACUGCAAACCUCAGCUUGCACUGUUUGCCACUGGCUGUGCAGUCAAAACUCCUAGUGGCUGCAACAGAGAUUUUUCUGUGUCUCAUCAGUAUAGGUCUCCAUUGAGUUAUGUUUUAGUUCCUAAUAAAAUUUUGCUUGCAGAGGUUUUGUUUUGUUGUGUUUUCCUGCAAGACUAUUUCAUCUUUAGAGCAGGAUAUCCUCUGUGUUGUACUGGUGCGUAAAACACAAUGACAGGUGAUUUCAUAGAGGGGUUGGUUAU